rnacentral:misc_RNA from 1 species
AGCAGCCGCGGUAAUUCCAGCUCCAAUAGCGUAUAUUAAAGUUGUUGCAGUUAAAAGCUCGUAGUUGAAUUUCGGGAUCAAUUUAUUGGUCGUGCAAUAGUACGUACUGGUAUUAUUGGUUCCUACCUUCUGAUGGACCAUGAUGUCAUUAAUUUGGUGUUAUGGGGAAUCAGGACUGUUACUUUGAAAAAUUAGAGUGUUUAAAGCAGGCUCACGCUUGAAUACAUUAGCAUGGAAUAAUGAAAUAGGACGUUUGAUUCUAUUUUGUUGGUUUCUAGGAUCGACGUAAUGAUUAAUAGGGAUAGUUGGGGGCAUUAGUAUUCAAUUGUCAGAGGUGAAAUUCUUGGAUUUAUGAAGACUAACUACUGCGAAAGCAUUUGCCAAGGAUGUUUUCAUUAAUCAAGAACGAAAGUUAGGGAUCGAAGACGAUCAGAUACCGUCGUAGUCUUAACCAUAAACUAUGCCGACUAGGGAUCGGAUGAUGUUUAAUUUUUAUGUACUCAUUCGGCUACCG